rnacentral:rRNA from 1 species
UACAGAGGUCUCAAGCGUUGUUCGGAUUCAUUGGGCGUAAAGGGUGCGUAGGUGGCGCUGUAAGUCGGGUGUGAAAUUUCGGAGCUUAACUCCGAAACUGCAUUCGAUACCGCCGUGCUUGAGGACUGGAGAGGAGACUGGAAUUUACGGUGUAGCGGUGAAAUGCGUAGAUAUCGUAAGGAAGACCAGUGGCGAAGGCGGGUCUCUGGACAGUUCCUGACGCUGAGGCACGAAGGUCAGGGGAGCAAACGGG